UCGGGAAUUUUGGGCAAUGGGCGAAAGCCUGACCCAGCAACGCCGCGUGAAGGAUGAAAUCCCUCGGGAUGUAAACUUCAUAAGAACGGGAAGAAUAAGCCGGUGUUGAUACCACCGGUGAUGACGGUACCGUUAGUAAGCUCCGGCUAACUCCGUGCCAGCAGCCGCGGUAAUACGGGGGGAGCAAGCGUUGUUCGGAUUUACUGGGCGUAAAGGGCGCGUAGGCGGCCACCGCAAGUCGACUGUGAAAUCUCCGGGCUUAACCCGGAAAGGUCAGCCGAUACUGCGGGGCUAGAGUGCAGAAGGGGCAACUGGAAUUCUCGGUGUAGCGGUGAAAUGCGUAGAUAUCGAGAGGAACACCUGCGGCGAAGGCGGGUUGCUGGGCUGACACUGACGCUGAGGCGCGAAAGCUAGGGGAGCGAACGGGAUUAGAUACCCCGGUAGUCCUAGCCUUAAACGAUGAAUGCUUGGUGUCUGGGGUUACAUAGUCCCCGGGUGCCGUCGCUAACGCUUUAAGCAUUCCGCCG
rnacentral:rRNA from 1 species